GAUCCUGGGCUCAGGACGAACGCUGGCGGCGCGCCUAACACAUGCAAGUCGAACGAGCGAGAGAGAGCUUGCUUUCUCAAGCGAGUGGCGAACGGGUGAGUAACGCGUGAGGAACCUGCCUCAAAGAGAGGGACAACAGUUGGAAACGACUGCUAAUACCGCAUAAGCCCACGGCUCGGCAUCGAGCAGAGGGAAAAGGAGCAAUCCGCUUUGAGAUGGCCUCGCGUCCGAUUAG
rnacentral:rRNA from 1 species